CCCUUAGAUGUUCUGGGCAGCACGCGCGCUACAAUGGUCUUCGCAAACGGAUGCAUUCUCGAAGGAGAAUGCCAAUCUUGGAAUCUAUGCCUUGGUCGGGACAGUUGCUUGCAAUUUUUCGACUCGAACCAGGAAUUCCUUGUAAUCGUGAUUCAUCACAUCACGAUGAAUACGUCCCUGCCCUUUGUACAUACCGCCCGUCGCUCCUACCGAUCGAAGAGUUAGGUGAAUUGUUUUGAUCGAUAAGAUUUGACUAUGGUCAACUCUCGUUGUGAAAUUCUGUGAAUCUGACUGUUUAGAGGAAGGAAAAGUCGUAACA
rnacentral:rRNA from 1 species